rnacentral:misc_RNA from 1 species
AAAGUCGUAACAAGGUUUCCGUAGGUGAACCUGCGGAAGGAUCAUUGCAGAAUGGAUGGAGUCAUGUGAGCCGAUAGGCGAGCAUGACUCCACACUUGUUCGGGGCAUGCAUUGCAUUGCUCCUUACAUUUACCGCGUGUGUGUCUGACUGAAUGUGUGUGUGGCUAUAACAGUGACAACUUUUAACAAUGGAUCUCUUGGCUCCU